UCAACCAGAAAGAGAGUGAGCAUUUGCGCAUGUGUAUGUCUGCGCCCGUGCUGGGAGGAAGGGUGUGAACAGACACUGCUGGACAGAUAGCUGGAGUUUAGUCCCUUCCUUCGGGACUCUCCACCACUCCUUCGGCUUCCCUUCUCCUGCCCAGCCCUGUCCUGGGUGCACAGAGAGGGAAGUCACUCCAUUCCUGCCCUUGAGGAGCUUCCAGACCCGGGGCAGGAGCGGGAUGCAGACAACUAGACAGCACCCUGGGCCGUGCAAGGAAUGCACUACAGAGCCAAUUUUACUGGCAAAGGAAUGGAGGAUCUGAAAGGCUAGGGGAUCCCACAGGCAGUGAGGAGCGGGUCUGGAAUUUGAACCAAUGGGCAUGAUUCCCAAGCUCAAGAUUUUGGCCACCAUCUGCACUGCCAGGGACAGAAAAAAAAAAACCUGGGAGGAGAGCCAAGCCAAGCUGGGAGUCAGGACCUCCCGGCCAGGUCUGGAUGGCAGGUAGGUGCCUCCACCCUGGUCCCAGAGCAAGUUCUGCUGGCUUCAGCCACCUGACUUGCCUGUGAAGUUGGGCAAAGAGGCCAGAGCAGACUGUGUGUGAUUCUGGCCCCACCCCCAGCACCCCUACCUCCACCUUUACUACCCCUAGGCUGCGGGAAGAGGCUUUGCCCAGCAAUAGUCCUGAUCUGAUGGCUGCUUGAAGCACAAUAAACAGAUAGUAUUUCUGCACAUGUCACUCUGAGUAUGAGGGCAGUAAUCUUGAAACUCCCCUUGACCACCUGGCACUCUGGAGAUGGAACUCCACAGCCUGUUUUCAAAGCCAAUUCCUGGUUGGAAGCUCCUCUUCAAGUCUAACGGAAGUGAGAGAGGGGAAAGCAAGGUGCAAGGCCUGUUCCAGGAAGAGCAAAAAUGUCUUCAAGAGUAAGACAUCCUGGUCUGAGAGCCAUGGCUUGGAGCAGCCUGUGGUUCUGGCAGAGAGCUGGUGGACGGGACCACGGAGAGAUGAUGCCACACACAGAAGUGAGACCAUUGAGAUCAUGGGAACUGCCCGGCCAAGGGCUGACAUCAAGGAAGCUUGGGAAUCAGGGGACAGCUGGGAAGGGGACAACCAACAGAACCAGCUGGAAACUGAAAAGGGAUGCAAGGGAGAAAUAGGAGGUGGGCGCUGAGUUCAGGUGGAGGAGGAGGAAGGGAGACAGGACAGAGAGGCAGAGGAUGAGACAAAAACAGAGGCAGAGAGACUGAGAAACGGGGAGACAGAGAUGGAUGGAGGCUGGGAAAGACAAAGGGAGACAGGCCUGGGCAGGAGAGGUCCUAUGUGUGGAGAAAAGGUUGGGAAGAGAGCAGGAAAGAGAGAAGGAGCACAGGGGUUUGGGGGUUCCCACCAGACCCAGCCCACCCCUCCUGCAGACUGGGUAUCUUCCUUGUCUGCCACUUACAGAGCUCAGGAUCCUCUCCCUCAGUGCUGGGAGCGGAGAGCUUGCCUCCAGCCCCGCCCUAGUCCAGAGGCUCCCCCUCCCCAGGCCCUCAGAGGCCGCCCCUGAGACUGGCUGUGCAGCGAUAGAUGGUGGGGGCCCAGCUGGUGCGUUAUCAGCCUUCUCCAGGAGUGCGCCUGAGCCACUCCGUGGCUGCCAGUCUGAGAUUAGGCCCCCGGAGGGUCAUUAAGCGCCACCCUGGCCUGGGCCCAGCCUCCUUUCCCUCCUCGAUCUGGCCAGGCUGGCAGGUGGGAAUGAGCGAUAAGGAUUGGGGGUCUCAGCGGUUCUGGGGCCAGCAGCUUCCUGCUCCCAGCCCCCGAUCGGGGCAGGAACAUGGGGUGAGGGUGAGGGGCUGUAAGGUCAGUGCCGGCCCAGCCCCUGCAGGAGCCCCCUGGGUUCCCAGUCUCUUAGAUCUACCCAUAUUGAGCAAGACAGAAUGAGAAGGGGGACAACGAGGCCCUUAGAGAGGCCCCAGACAGCUGCUGGGGAGCAAGGUAAGCCCAGGCAGAAGCAGGCUUCUCCUGGCAAAACCUCACAGGUGUGAGGAGCUGGGAUUCACUUGCUACAGGGAGACAGGGAUGGUGGCUCUGCCUUCUGGCCCUGGUAGGCUGGUGGGGUGACCUGACUCGAACCCACUCCCACCCACCCAGGGACAACUGACGGCAGAGCUGGGAGGAAAUGUGGCCUCGUGAAAGGAGAAUCAGAUCCGGCAGCCAGAAGCUUCCCACCAGGAGGCAGGAAAGGAAGAGGGGACUGUUUGUGCCCUAGCAGAGGCCUGACCCUCUAGGAACCUCUGUCUCUCCUUCAGUGAGUGGAGAAGCUGGGCUGGCUGCUGGCCUGGAUUUGCCCUCUGGUCUAAUCAAGGAAGACUUUCCAGAAGAGGAGGAACCUUGGUUGGGUCAAGAAAAAACAAUGGGCAGAGUUUAAACUGGCAGAGGUGGGGUGAAAAGGCAUGAGUCACAGAAAGCCACGUAAGCAAAAGCCUAGAGUAGAAAUCACAAGCUGCAGUUCAUUAAGUUGAAGCCCUGAGAGGGGAGGUGACUUGUCUCAAGACACACAGAAAGGCAGGGUUAGGCCUGGAGCAAAGCUGCUGCUCCCCCACCCAGGCCUCUUCCCUCUGCUGCUGUCUGCAUCCUAAACCCAACGAGGUGAGAAGAGAUUAUUUCCAUUUAAGAUGAGUCUUCCCCAGUGGUACUUGGUGAAGCCUUAGAAUAGCAAAAGAAUGGCCGUAACAUGAAACAAGGGGGCUGUGACAGGUUGAGGCAAGUGGCAAAGGGAGACCUUUGGGACAAGGUGGAUGGCCUCCUACCUUCUGGCCCCACUUCUCUGGAUCUGGGAAUUAUUCUGGAUGAGUCCGUCUCAGAUUAUCACCCAGGACAGAGACAGAAGGUUCCCAUAAGGCCAGCAGUCACAGAGGUGAGGGGCCUCCAGGUUCCGCCAGCCAGGCAAGGCACGCCUCCCCUCUGCCCUGCUCCUACUAGGACCCAGGUUCCUGAUCCUCCCGUCCCUACCCCGACUCCCACCCCAGGACUGAGAGUUGGGCGAGGCAGGCAUAGGCAAGGACUGGGCUCUCCUCCAGCUCUGCCGUGAGACUGGCCAAAUCUUCCAUGGACAGAAAGCUCAGCUCAGAGAGGACAACAGCUUUCCCAAGCUCACACACAAGUUGGCAGAGGACCCAGGACUCAGAUCUGGGCUUCCUGAGUCUCAACCCAAGACUCCUUCCUGACACUUCCUAUGCCAAAGCCCAGCACAGAGGGCCUACCAGAGGGAGACAGAGCUAGGAUCUGUGUGAACCCACCAUGACACCUCCAGCACAGAGGCAGAGGGUGAACGGCACUGUGCAAGGAAAAGCCCAGAGCCUCAGGGAUGAAGGGUGCUUUGGGGGCGGGGACUGGAGCAAGGGUAGAGUGGGUGAGCUCCCCAGCCCAUAGGCCUCUGACAUCCUCUUCCUUCCCUGCAUACAUGAAACUGAUCAGCACUGGGGGCACCUAGCUCAUAUUAGGGUCUGCCCUGCCCUGCCCUGCCCUGGGAAGCCAUGCCCAGCUGCUCUGGUUGAAAGGGUUUGACCUGAGGGGACAAGAAACACCCCACUGGCAGAAAUGGGCUCACCUGUCCUGGUCUUCCUGCCUCCCAAUUCUCCCAGGUGUCAUCAGACACUCCCAUUUGAGGGUGCUUCACUCUCAAACACCAGAAAAGACACCAACCCUCUCUUACCCUCACCCUGGCCACACACUCUCAGCCCCUCCCCAGCCUGGGCCCCCUCGGUCCCAGCUGCCCUGUGGGU